AUAAUUACCUGGCAGGGGAGAAACCUGGGUUUUUCUCAGGGCAAGGCUUAUCCAUUGCAUUCCUGAUGUGUGCUGGCCCCUGUGAUUUCCACAAAUGUAGGAAACUCAACUGCAUCAUCUGUGGUACUAGGGGGCUGUGUGUGCUCUUCCGUA
ensembl:snRNA U1 U1 spliceosomal RNA